UAGAACAUGUUCUUGCAACUGUUUCCACAGUACCGUAAAGAAGUUUUACCGCCGCAAACCAGCGUAGAUCUUCUCCAGACACAAAUUAAAUUCGACCAUCUCGUGUGAUUCAUUGUGACCAUUUAAAAAUGAAUCGCCAGCAAUAACAUUCCUGCUCAGCUUAUUCACUAGGCGUAUGUUUGCUUCCGCCGUCCGCAGGACUUUUGCAUUGCCAAAUACCUAAAACAAAUCAUUUCCAGAAGUUAGUUCCCCUUUCCUGACUAUUUGGAUCCAAUCUUACUUAUCACUUAGUGAUGAUAGUUGCAUUGCUGAGCUUCAUUUAUCCUCGUAAGUUUUAUUUUAAAGUCAAUUAUUGUCGGUCGAAGAAGCGCUGGUAAACCACGUGAAAUCAAUUUUACUUUUUUUCCUUUCUUUUCUUCAGUAUCUGUGCACCGACCGAAGCCGGCCGGCGGAGUGAAACGAAAAGAACUGUCAGAAUUUAAAGAAAAAUGGAAUCAGCAUAAAAGCAUAAAAAUGAUUGUUACUCUGGGGGUCGAUCUGCAAAGUCAAAUAUUAUAUUCCUUACCCACAUAUGGUUUACGUUUGGGAUUGUUUGAGAUUGAGUUUGAAAGUGAACGCUAUAAACUGCCCAUUUGAUUUACUGUCUAUUUCCUGAUCAUAGGGACGGACUAGGGAUCCUACAUUCAGAGAUAUGCGAAAGCGGCCAUCUUGAGCCAAUCGAGCAUUGAGAACUGUCAAAAUCUGAGCCAAAUGAACAUCGUUAUUGUUGCAGAUCGAAAGGUAUUGCGAUUUUGGUGAAAUAGAUUUUAUGAAAAGUUUGAUCGAAUAAACAAUUAGUUUUGCUUUCGUAAGUAAAAGUAGUCUAGUUGAUGCCUUAUAUCGUGUUCAUUCGUAUUGCUCUUGAAUUUGAGCGAAAAUGCAUUGCUAGAGCAUAGAUAAAAUAAUCAAAAACUGUCUUCGAAUGUAAAGUCAUGUGCAAGCCUAAACAUUUUUCAGUGCGGCAAGUGCUGGCAGCGUUUGUUUACGAAAGUAACAGCGUUGCUAAAUCGUCUGGAAAAGUAUUCGCACAUCUCUUAAUAUAGGAUCCCUAGGACGGACAACAAAUUAAGCUGCAUGAAGAACCAUUCGAACACGGAGAAAAUGAAAGCAGCAGAAUCCACGAGGUAGCGUAAUGCAGCUUCCAACAUGGAUGACCAAAGACUUGGAGACCAAAAACGGUGGUACUUCGCGGAAAGGUACCGGUCACGUACUUCCGUCGGAGACACACGAACAAGAAUGCAGCUACCAUCGUGUUGAGCACCCGUAUCUGAUCCACUGAGAAUGGGAGUGAUUGUGAGAUUUUCGUCUGUGUAUUUACGGAUCCGAACGUCUAACCUGGAAGCAGCUUUAACCCAAGUUUCGAGACAAACUAUACAUCCGGUAGCAUGAGGUGGGUGAUGGUGGACUUGUCGGACAGAAUUAUGACCAUCUUCAAUCAAUGUCCAGCUUGGAUUUUCAUCCUCUCACAAUG